rnacentral:rRNA from 1 species
AGUGAACGCUGGCGGUAGGCCUAGCACAUGCAAGUCGAACGGCAGCACAGUAAGAGCUUGCUCUUACGGGUGGCGAGUGGCGGACGGGUGAGGAAUACAUCGGAAUCUACUUUUUCGUGGGGGAUAACGUAGGGAAACUUACGCUAAUACCGCAUACGACCUACGGGUGAAAGCAGGGGAUCUUCGGACCUUGCGCGAUUGAAUGAGCCGAUGUCGGAUUAGCUAGUUGGCGGGGUAAAGGCCCACCAAGGUGACGAUCCGUAGCUGGUCUGAGAGGAUGAUCAGCCACACUGGAACUGAGACACGGUCCAGACUCCUACGGGAGGCAGCAGUGGGGAAUAUUGGACAAAGGGCGCAAGCCUGAUCCAGCCAUACCGCGUGGGUGAAGAAGGCCUUCGGGUUGUAAAGCCCUUUUGUUGGGAAAGAAAAGCAGCAGGUUAAUACCCCGCUGUUCUGACGGUACCCAAAGAAUAAGCACCGGCUAACUUCGUG